rnacentral:lncRNA from 1 species
UUUGGAUAGUGUAUAACUUUUGUUUUAUUAUUAAUUUUGCUACUAUUUUAGAAGUAUUUGCUUGUUAAAUUGCACUUAACUUAGUGUUAUUUAAGUGUAUAUAUUUUUUAAUUUAUUCUCAAUUUGUUUAAAAAUAUUUAUUUUAAUGUUUUUAGUAUAUUUAAUGUAUUAUAUUUUUUUAAUUUAUUUUUAUCUAAAUUAGCAAUAUAAAAAAAUUAAUACGGACAAGCAAGAAUUGGA